ACCGCUUUGAAUACACUACUUGAAGUUUUUGUUAUUUUGAAUGCAUUUAAUGAUACAAAAUCAGUUAAGAUAUACACGAAAAUGGAUAUGUUAACGUUACAGACGUUAUUAGUUUUUACUGUCGGAAUAUACGAGGUUACAGCUGGUGAGUGGUGUUUCGUACAAAAAACAUUUGGUUCUGGAUCUGAGUAUCAAUACUGCAGUUGGGGAUGUUGCACCUUCAGCUAUCGGACUCAAUGCUGCACCGUCAACUAUACAACUAACUUGCAAACAAAUGUCGGAUUUUUUAUCGGCAAAAUUGUUGGGGGCGUGAUCGGUCUGAUAGUGCUGGUGUCGAUA